rnacentral:rRNA from 1 species
UACGUAGGUGGCAAGCGUUGUCCGGAUUUAUUGGGUUUAAAGGGUGCGUAGGUGGGCAGGUAAGUCAGUGGUGAAAUCUCCGGGCUUAACCCGGAAACUGCCAUUGAUACUAUCAGUCUUGAAUACCGUGGAGGUAAGCGGAAUAUGUCAUGUAGCGGUGAAAUGCUUAGAUAUGACAUAGAACACCAAUUGCGAAGGCAGCUUACUACCCGAAUAUUGACACUGAGGCACGAAAGCGUGGGGAUCAAACAGG